CCUACGGGAGGCAGCAGUGGGGAAUAUUGGGCAAUGCACGAAACUCUGACCCAGCAACGCCGCGUGAAUGAUGAAGGUCUUCGGAUUGUAAAGUUCUUUUCUAAGGGAAGAAGAAAGUGACGGUACCUUAGGAAUAAGCCUCGGCUAACUGCGUGCCAGCAGCCGCGGUACUACGUAGGAGGCGAGCGUUAAACGGAAUGAGUGGGCGUAAAGGGUGCGUAGGUGGUUUGGCAAGUUCGUAGCGUAACUCAAAGGCUCAACCUUGGAACGACUACUGAAACUGUUGGACUUGAGUGCAGGAGGGGAUACCGGAAUUCCUAGUGUAGCGGUGGAAUGCGUAGAUAUUAGGAGGAACACCAGUGGCGAAGGCGGGAUGCUAGAUUGUAACUGACACUGAGGUACGAAAGCGUGGGGAGCAAACAGGAUUAGAUACCCUGGUAGUC
rnacentral:rRNA from 1 species